GCCCGCCUAGCUCAAUCGGAUAGAGCGUCAGACUCUUAUAUAGGCGGGUUAGAUCACCUUGAGUGUCAUCUGAAGGCUGCGAGUUCGACCCUCGCGGUGGGCU